GUUUUGCUCUACCUGGGGGAGCCAACAUUAAUUGCCAGGAGGUGGAGAGAGAACAGUGCUACGACCUGGGUCUGUGGGAUGGCUUGAAAAAGCACAAGGAUAUUCCUUCAUUUCAGCCCAUCUUAGACAGGCCACCCUUAGGAUGUGUGUCAUCGCCCAUUUUCCAUAUGGCAUCCCAGGGACUGGUGUUCUCCUUGGCUGGCUGGCCUAGGCAAAGCUGGGAGGCUCAGGGACAUCAAUCAGGCCACCCAGAUACUUAAUAUGGCCAGGUUUUCCUGAACAAAAGACAAGGGAAAG